rnacentral:rRNA from 1 species
AUAGAGACUCAGAGCUGCAUAUCAAUAAGCGGAGGAAAAGAAACUAACUAGGAUUCCCUUAGUAACGGCGAGUGAAGCGGGAAGAGCUCAAAUUUGAAAUCUUCAAGGUUUUACCUUGACGAAUUGUAGUUUAUAGAAGUGUUUUCUGUUGAAGUUUUGGUAAAAGUUCUUUGGAAUAGGACAUCAUAGAGGGUGAGAAUCCCGUAUUUGACCAUUUCUUUCAGCUUUGUGAUACACUUUCAAAGAGUCGGAUUGUUUGGGAAUGCAGUCCAAAUGGGUGGUAAAUUUCAUCUAAAGCUAAAUACUGGCGAGAGACCGAUAGCGAACAAGUACCGUGAGGGAAAGAUGAAAAGAACUUUGAAAAGAGAGUUAAACAGUACGUGAAAUUGUCAAAAGGGAAGCGUUUGACACCAGUGUUGUUUUCUCGAAAAUCAAUUAAAAAUAACUUGAUUUUGUGUUGUAUUGACCUUAAAAGCUUUCUUCACUCUUUUCCUGUUAUUUUUAAUGCACUUUUCGUUUAACAAGUCAACAUCAGUUUCUUUUGUUGUAAAAAGGUCAUUGGAAGGUGGCUUUCUUUUCGGAGAAAGUGUUUAUAGCCUUUGACUCCUGCAAUCGGAGAGACUGAGGUCUGCAGCGUAGAUCCUUUUUUGGAUUAGAUUCAUUUGUGCUAAGUUAUAGCUUUUUAUAGACAACAUGUUGACUAUAUUUAGUCUUGUAACUUACUCGCUUAUGUAAUUUUACCUACGCUUAGGAUGUUGAUAGUCACAGCGUGUAC